AUGGCCCCGCGGGUCCUGGAUCUGGUUCCGGUCGUCGGUCCGGUACAGAUCUGGAACUGAAGCAGGACUGCAUGGCUGAUCCUUAAGUACCUCCUGGGCGUGGCUAAGGAGUUGAAGUUUGGAUUCUUUGGCCUUCCUGCUCCAAGUGAUAAAGUCUUCUUAAUGUCAGAUAAAUACAUACAAAGAUUUUGC